AUCGGUAACCUGGCUGUCGCGUGGGCCCUCCACUCGCUCCUAUUCCUCUUCCUGGCCGAGGACCGCGGUGCGGGUUGUUGCGCCCGCCCGGCAAUCGCGCUAUCCGCGGCUCCAGCUCGUCGUAGCUUCAAAAGCGGACCAUACGCCCACGUGCUCCCUUCCCUUCGCCUCGUCCAACCGACCCGAUUAACCAAGUGAGUGUGAAUUCGCCGUCCGCGGGGGAGAAGAGAAGGGCUGAGGCCGCCGCUCUUGACAUCUCGCCUGGCCAUUGGUCAGUGCUCGGUGUAGAGUCGCGGGGACUCGCCAUCGGGUUGGAAUCGUGCGCGUGCGAAGCAUCAGACGCAAGUGCAACGGAAUUCCGGGGGAUUGUUCGUCGGAGUACCGAGGGCCGCCAUGUGCUCGUUCUUCCGUCGACAGUGCUCUGUGCCGCGCCAUUUCUGUGCGCCUGGGUUGAGGAAUCGCCUCGUCAGCGAUGUCGCUCGCCGUCACCACUGCGCGGGUGUCGUCCUUUGUUGAGCGAUGUUGGCUGGAUUGGGGAAGACGACUCUCGGCCGUUCAACCUGGAAUUCACGGUCAGUAUUAAAUCGAAACUUACCAGUUCCUGUAAUUAGAUCUGGAUCGUCGAUGCGUUGGUGAAUGGCUUAGAUCAAGGCCGAGGCGUGGUUGUAUCUCAUCUGUUGAUGUCGGAUCUGGCGAUCGGGGAUGAUGGUCGAUUCAUCUAUGACCCUGAUUUAAUCUAGAGGGUUGGCUAUUGUAACACCUCAAAAUCUCAUUUUGAGAAGUAUGUAAAUUUUUUUUCCAAAGAUCUUGAAUUAGAUUUUUUUUAGAAUUCCCAUAACCUUUGAAGUCACAUCUCCUAAAAUAAAAAUUUUAUAAUAAAGGUUCAAUAAAAGAUUCUUCUA